GACGAACGCUGGCGGCGUGCCUAACACAUGCAAGUCGAACGGAAAGGCCCUGCUUUUGUGGGGUGCUCGAGUGGCGAAGGGGUGAGUAACACGUGAGUAACCUGUCCUUGACUUUGGGAUAACUUAAGGAAACUGGGGCUAUUACCGCAUAGGAGCUAUUGCCGCAUGGUGGGGGUGGGAAAGUUUCGGCGGUUGGGGAUGGAAUCGCGGCUUAUCUGCUUGAUGGUGGGGUAGUGGCUUACAAAGGCUUUGACGGGUGGCCGGCCUGAGAGGGGGACCGGCCACAUUGGGACGGGGAUGCGGCACAGACUCCAACCGGAGGCAGCGGUGGAGAAUAUUGCACAAUGGGCGGAAGCCAGAUGCAGCAACGCCGCGUGCGGGAAGACAGCCUUCGGGUUGUGAACCGCUUUCGCCUGAGACGAGGCGUGAGUGACGGUAAUGGGUAAAGAAGCACCGGCUAACUACGUG
rnacentral:rRNA from 1 species